AACUGUGGGCUCAGGAGGCAGAGCUCUGGGCAUUUCCCCACGGCCCAUGCCCCUCUCCUGCUCCCCCUCCUCACUCUCUGCACAGGUGC
rnacentral:pre_miRNA from 1 species